CUAGGUCGUAACGGGUAACGGGGAAUUAGGGUUCAUUCCGGAGAGGGAGCCUGAGAAAUGGCUACCACUUCCAAGGAAGGCAGCAGGCGCGCAAAUUACCCCAAUCCUGAUUCGGGGAGGUAGUGACAAGAAAUACCAUUGGCGGACACUUUGUGUACGCUAUUUGGAAUGAGUACAAUUUAAACACCUUAACGAGGAACAAUUGGAGGGCAAGUCUGGUGCCAGCAGCCGCGGUAAUUCCAGCUCCAAUAGUGUAUAUUAAAGUUGCUGCGGUUAAAAAGCUCGUAGUUGGAUUUCGGACUGCGCUUCGGUCAAAGCUCGCCGCAAGGCGUGGCUGGACUAACGCGUCCUAUCUUCGGAUAGUGAACCUGGCUCGCAAGGGCUGGGAGCUCGCUUCCGAUCAUUUACUUUGAAAAAAUUAGAGUGUUCAAAGCAGGCGUCAAGCCAUUGAAUAUUACAGCAUGGGAUAAUAGAAUAUGACGUUGGUCUUAUUUUGUUGGUUUCUAAGGCUGAUGUAAUGAUUAAUAGGGAUAGUUGGGGU
rnacentral:rRNA from 1 species